UACGAAGGGGGCUAGCGUUGUUCGGAAUUACUGGGCGUAAAGCGCGCGCAGGCGGUCUUCCAAGUCAGUGGUGAAAGCCCCGGGCUCAACCUGGGAAUUGCGCGCGAAACGGGGGGGCUUGAGUUCGGGAGAGGAGCGUGGAAUUCCCAGUGUAGAGGUGAAAUUCGUAGAUAUUGGGAAGAACACCGGUGGCGAAGGCGGCGCUCUGGACCGAGACUGACGCUGAGGCGCGAAAGCGUGGGGAGCAAACAGG
rnacentral:rRNA from 1 species